UACGUAGGGGGCGAGCGUUGUCCGGAAUUACUGGGCGUAAAGGGUGCGUAGGUGGCCUUUUAAGUUGGAUGUGAAAUCCCCGGGCUUAACUUGGGUGGUGCAUCUAAUACUGGAGGGCUAGAGUGCAGGAGAGGGAAGCGGAAUUCCUAGUGUAGCGGUGAAAUGCGUAGAUAUUAGGAGGAACACCAGUGGCGAAGGCGGCUUUCUGGACUGUAACUGACACUGAGGCACGAAAGCGUGGGGAGCAAACAGGG
rnacentral:rRNA from 1 species